rnacentral:rRNA from 1 species
GAUGAACGCUAGCGGCAGGCUUAAUACAUGCAAGCCGAGGGGCAGCAUGAAUGUAGCAAUACAUUUGAUGGCGACCGGCAAACGGGUGCGGAACACGUACACAACCUUCCUAUAAGUGGGGAAUAGCCCAGAGAAAUUUGGAUUAAUACCCCGUAACAUAAUGAUGUGGCAUCACAUUAUCAUUAUAGCUUCGGCGCUUAUUGAUGGGUGUGCGGCCGAUUAGAUAGUUGGCGGGGUAACGGCCCACCAAGUCUACGAUCAGUAGCUGAUGUGAGAGCAUGAUCAGCCACACGGGCACUGAGACACGGGCCCGACUCCUACGGGAGGCAGCAGUAAGGAAUAUUGGUCAAUGGACGCAAGUCUGAACCAGCCAUGCCGCGUGAAGGAUUAAGGUCCUCUGGAUUGUAAACUUCUUUUAUCUGGGACGAAAAAAGGCUAUUCUUAGUCACUUGACGGUACCAGAUGAAUAAGCACCGGCUAACUCCGUGCCAGCCGCCGCGGUAAGAC